rnacentral:rRNA from 1 species
AUUGAACGCUGGCGGCCGGCCUAACACAUGCAAGUCGAACGAGUGGCGGACGGGUGAGUAAUGUCUGGGAAACUGCCUGAUGGAGGGGGAUAACUACUGGAAACGGUAGCUAAUACCGCAUACCCUCGGAUGUGCCCAGAUGGGAUUAGCUCGUAGGUGGGGUAACGGCUCACCUAGGCGACGAUCCCUAGCUGGUCUGAGAGGAUGACCAGCCACACUGGAAGUGAGACACGGUCCAGACUCCGACGGGAGGCAGCAGUGGGGAAUAUUGAACAAUGGGCGCAAGCCUGAUGCAGCCAUGCCGCGUGUAUGAAGAAGGCCGUCGGGUUGUAAAGUACUUUCAGCGGGGAGGCGUUACCCGCAGAAGAAGCACCGGCUAACUCCGUGCCAGCAGCCGCGGUAAUUC